rnacentral:pre_miRNA from 1 species
UGAGGUAAUCAUCGUUGUCACUUCGCAAAGUUGGAAUUGAAAACGUUGUCUAUCUCGAA